CAAAUACCGGAAGCCGCUCCCCUGUGUGGCUGAGGAUCGGGAGAGCAGCGGCCUCGGGUCCAGGCGCCAUGGCUGCGGAGCGGACCCGGCCGCUGCAAGGCUCUGGCGGCCCGAGCGCGCCUAAUCGGUGUGAGCCCGGCGCAAGGUCCCGGGCCCCGGGGCGCUCGCUCAG